rnacentral:tRNA from 1 species
UGUAAUAUCUUAUUUUAGAUCUUUUAGGUCGAAACUAAAUAUUUUUGAUAAACUAAAAUUAC